GACGUAGGAGGCGAGCGUUAUCCGGAUUUAUUGGGCGUAAAGGGCAAGUAGGCGGUUGUCAAAGUUGGGCGUGACAACUCCCGGCUCAACUGGGAGGGUGCGUUCAAAACUAGGCAACUAGAGGGCAGGAGAGGGAAGUGGAAUUCCCAGUGUAGCGGUGGAAUGCUCAGAUAUUGGGAAGAACACCAGUGGCGAAGGCGGCUUCCUGGCCUGCACCUGACGCUGAGAGGCGAAAGCUAGGGUAGCAAACGGGCUUAGAUACCCCGGUAGUCCCUGAGCGGG
rnacentral:rRNA from 1 species